CUUGUUGGAGUUUUCCCCUGUGAACCUGGGAUCUUCUGAUGUGGAGCAGCGCAGUAAACAGAUUCCAGUUUCCACAGGGGAGGGCUGUAUUGCACCAAUC